rnacentral:rRNA from 1 species
UACGAAGGGGGCUAGCGUUGUUCGGAAUUACUGGGCGUAAAGCGCACGUAGGCGGAUUUGUAAGUCAGGGGUGAAAUCCCGGGGCUCAACCUCGGAACUGCCUUUGAUACUGCAAGUCUCGAGUCCGAUAGAGGUGAGUGGAAUUCCUAGUGUAGAGGUGAAAUUCGUAGAUAUUAGGAAGAACACCAGUGGCGAAGGCGGCUCACUGGAUCGGUACUGACGCUGAGGUGCGAAAGCGUGGGAG